GUUGUUGUGAUUUUAGUCUAUGCAAGUAUUUUACCCGAUUACAACUGCCAAGACUUGGCUUUUAUUUAAAAGAAGACAAGACGACGGUGUUGCCUUUGUAAGUCGCGGCUGGACCACCCACAAAACCGGUUUUGGUUACCUGUCAUGCGAGUUUUGGCUAGGUCUGGACAAAUCUAUGACAAAUCAAGCGAUUGACAAAUCAGGGGCCAAUGACACUCCGUGAGGAAAUGGAGGACUGGGACGGAAAUAUUCGGUACGCUGAGUACAGCGGCUUUUGUGUGGAUGAUGAGCCGAACAACUACUGCGAACAACAACAACUGACAGCAACCGGCUAUACUGGAGAUGCCGGGCACUUCUUCUUAUCACAACGGUGCAAGCUUGAGCACGCCUGACCGACAUAAUAGUCCCGCCCUCUCUAACUGGGCGUUGCAAGACGGAGCUCCGAAGGGAGAAUGGUGAUGCAAGGUGCGUCAGAUAAGACUGCAUACUUCGAGGAUGGCACGAGCCC